rnacentral:tRNA from 1 species
CGGGAUGUAGCGCAGCCUGGUAGCGCGCUGCGCUGGGGGUGCAGAGGUCGGAGGUUCGAAUCCUCUCGUCCCGACCA